rnacentral:rRNA from 1 species
UACGAAGGGGGCUAGCGUUGCUCGGAUUGACUGGGCGUAAAGGGCGCGUAGGCGGUUCGUACAGUCAGACGUGAAAUUCCUGGGCUCAACCUGGGGGCUGCGUUUGAUACGUGCGGACUUGAGUGCGGAAGAGGGUCGUGGAAUUCCCAGUGUAGAGGUGAAAUUCGUAGAUAUUGGGAGGAACACCGGUGGCGAAGGCGGGUCUCUGGGCAGUAACUGACGCUGAGGAGCGAAAGCGUGGGGAGCGAACAGG